rnacentral:rRNA from 1 species
UAAAGAUUCAUCGCUGAUAGAUGGGCAUGCGUUCCAUUAGGCAGUUGGCGGGGUAACGGCCCACCAAACCGACGAUGGAUAGGGGUUCUGAGAGGAAGGUCCCCCACAUUGGUACUGAGACACGGACCAAACUCCUACGGGAGGCAGCAGUGAGGAAUAUUGGUCAAUGGGCGUAAGCCUGAACCAGCCAAGUCGCGUGAGGGAUGAAGGUUCUAUGGAUCGUAAACCUCUUUUAUAAGGGAAUAAAGUGCGGGACGUGUCCCGUUUUGUAUGUACCUUAUGAAUAAGGAUCGGCUAACUCCGUGCCAGCAGCCGCGGUAAUACGGAGGAUCCGAGCGUUAUCCGGAUUUAUUGGGUUUAAAGGGUGCGUAGGCGGCCUUUUAAGUCAGCGGUGAAAGUCUGUGGCUCAACCAUAGAAUUGCCGUUGAAACUGGGAGGCUUGAGUAUGUUUGAGGCAGGCGGAAUGCGUGGUGUAGCGGUGAAAUGCUUAGAUAUCACGCAGAACCCCGAUUGCGAAGGCAGCCUGCCAAGCCAUGACUGACGCUGAUGCACGAAAGCGUGGGGAUCAAACAGGAUUAGAUACCCUGGUAGUCCACGCAGUAAACGAUGAUCACUAGCUGUUUGCGAUACAGUGUAA